CUAAAAUCAAGUAAAUAAUUAAAUGUCUUGUAUUUUAUACUAAUUACGAUAAAAUUAGGAUACUUUGAGGUUAUUAGGAUAGUUAGGAGAUUAAUUAUUUUAUUAGGGUAAUUAGGGAUUAAUAAUUUAAAUAGUAUAAUUAUGAUAAUAAGGUUUGUUCAAUUAACAUAGAUUUAUUUACAAUAAUCAUUUAGUAGUUAAUUAUCUAUCUAU
rnacentral:lncRNA from 1 species